CUUAUAUGAUCUGAAAUUUUGAAAUUUUUGUGGUUGGUAUGCCUGCCGAGUCGACUCGAUAUUUUGUUAGAGAUGGGCUACAUAGCCUUAGGCAGUCCUACAUCAAGCAUUUUGAUUUUCAGUCACCAUCAGACCAGAGAUCCUAUCAGGAUCACUGGAUGUGGGUUGAUGUAUGGAAGGCCUUCUAUGACUAAUGGAGUAACAAAGAGUACUCCAGUAGGUGGCAGAGGGCCUGACAGAAUUGGACCGUCCAG
rnacentral:lncRNA from 1 species